rnacentral:rRNA from 1 species
GGGGAAUUUUCCGCAAUGGGCGAAAGCCUGACGGAGCAAUACCGCGUGAGGGAGGAAGGCUCUUGGGUCGUAAACCUCUUUUCUCAGGGAAGAAAAAAAUGACGGUACCUGAGGAAUAAGCAUCGGCUAACUCCGUGCCAGCAGCCGCGGUAAUACGGAGGAUGCAAGCGUUAUCCGGAAUGAUUGGGCGUAAAGCGUCCGCAGGUGGCGAUGUAAGUCUGCUGUUAAAGAGUCUAGCUCAACUAGAUAAGAGCAGUGGAAACUACAUAGCUAGAGUACGUUCGGGGCAGAGGGAAUUCCUGGUGUAGCGGUGAAAUGCGUAGAGAUCAGGAAGAACACCAGUGGCGAAGGCGCUCUGCUAGGCCGUAACUGACACUGAGGGACGAAAGCUAGGGGAGCGAAUGGGAUUAGAUACCCCAGUAGUCCUAGCCGUAAACGAUGGAUACUAGGCGUGGCUUGUAUCGACCCGAGCCGUGCCGUAGCUAACGCGUUAAGUAUCCCGCCUGGGGAGUACGCCGGCAACGGUGAAACUCAAAGGAAUUGACGGGGGCCCGCACAAGCGGUGGAGUAUGUGGUUUAAUUCGAUGCAACGCGAAGAACCUUACCAAGGCUUGACAUGUCGCGAAUCUUGAUGAAAGUUGAGAGUGCCUUCGGGAGCGCGAACACAGGUGGUGCAUGGCUGUCGUCAGCUCGUGUCGUGAGAUGUUGGGUUAAGUCCCGCAACGAGCGCAACCCUCGUUUUUAGUUGCCAGCAUUAAGUUGGGCACUCUAGAGAGACUGCCGGUGACAAACCGGAGGAAGGUGGGAUGACGUCAAGUCAGCAUGCCCCUUACGCCUUGGGCUACACACGUACUACAAUGCUCCGGACAGAGGGCAGCAAGCAUGCGAAUGCAAGCAAAUCCCGUAAACCGGAGCUCAGUUCAGAUCGCAGGCUGCAACUCGCCUGCGUGAAGGAGGAAUCGCUAGUAAUUGCAGGUCAGCAUACUGCAGUGAAUUCGUUCCCGGGCCUUGUACACACCGCCCGUCACACCAUGGAAGCUGGUAGUGCCCGAAGUCAUUACUCCAACCUUUCGGGGGGGAGGAUGCCUAAGGCAGGACUGGUGACUGGGGUGAAGUCGUAACAAGGUAGCCGUACCGGAAGGUGUGGCUGGAUCACCUCCUU